rnacentral:lncRNA from 1 species
CAGUCAGAGGAAAAUACACUUCAGGCCCCAUGCCGGCUCCCCGUCCCUGGUCUUAAAUGCCAGAGGAAACACCCUCCAGGCCCUAUGCCAACACCAAACCGUCGCCCGGGAUGGACCGGAAUCUAUCCCUACGUCCCGUAGCGGAAAGGACCACUAGGUAAGUACAAAACCACUGAACAUAUAUAUAUUGAAAAACAACUUCAUAGUAUAAAGUCAUCCAUCAUCUAUACUAUAAAGAGGUGUUCGAAACAUGUUCUAAAUAUCAUAUCGUCAUCCAUCAGAUAUUCUAUAAGAACACGGGUUAUAGGAAAAAUAGUAAUAAUUCAAACUAGCCUCAGUAAGCAUGUUAUCUCACAAAACGUUUCAUAAAACGUAAUCAUCAAAUCAUGCUUUUCAUGUAUGCAUUUCUACUAUAAAACAUGCAUUUUAGAAGGGGUCCACUCACAGUACUUCGCCGUCGAAAAGCCACGCAAUCUAUCGAAGAAGGAACGCCACUAUAAUUGCCCCUAAGCACAUAAAGAGUCCAAUUAAUAAAACUCUAUUUUAACAAUUGAAUUUGGGAAAACAGACGUUGGAAACGGAUUCAGAACGUCGAAUUACCUUAAGAAGGGUCCUGGACAAAAACCCGAAAAGUCAACCCUAAAGUCAACGUUGACCGGGGGUCAUCGGUCAAAUUAGGU